UACGUAGGUGGCAAGCGUUGUCCGGAAUUAUUGGGCGUAAAGGGCGUGUAGGUGGAUAAUUAAGUCGUGUGUCUAAGUGCGGGGCUCAACCCCGUAUGGGCGCAGGAAACUGGUUAUCUUGAGUGCAGGAGAGGAAAGUGGAAUUCCCAGUGUAGCGGUGAAAUGCGUAGAUAUUGGGAGGAACACCAGUGGCGAAGGCGACUUUCUGGACUGUGUCUGACACUGAGGCGCGAAAGCUAGGGGAGCGAACGGGAUUAGAUACC
rnacentral:rRNA from 1 species